rnacentral:misc_RNA from 1 species
CAACCCUCAAGCUCCGGCUUGGUGUUGGGGAUCGGCAGCCCGGCUUCGCGCCGUCGCCGUCCCCCAAAUGCAGUGGCGGUCACGCUGUAGCUUCCUAUGCGUAGUAGCACACCUCGCACUGGAAAGCAGCGCGGCCACGCCGUAAAACCCCCAACUUUUUUGU